rnacentral:rRNA from 1 species
UACAGAGGUCUCAAGCGUUGUUCGGAUUCAUUGGGCGUAAAGGGUGCGUAGGCGGCGAGGUAAGUCGGAUGUGAAAUCUCAGGGCUCAACCCUGAAACUGCAUUCGAUACUGCCUUGCUCGAGGACUCGAGAGGAGAUUGGAAUUCACGGUGUAGCAGUGAAAUGCGUAGAUAUCGUGAGGAAGACCAGUGGCGAAGGCGGAUCUCUGGAGAGUUCCUGACGCUGAGGCACGAAGGCCAGGGGAGCAAACGGG